rnacentral:rRNA from 1 species
GGCCUGGCCGGGCGGUCCGCCUAACGGUGUGUACUGUCUGGCCGGGCCUUACCUCUUGGUGAACCGGCAUGCCCUUCGCUGGGUGUGUCGGGGAACCAGGACCUUUACCUUGAGAAAAUUAGAGUGUUCAAAGCAGGCCUACGCCCGAAUACAUUAGCAUGGAAUAAUAGAAUAGGACGCGCGGUCCUAUUUUGUUGGUUUCUAGGAUCGCCGUA